rnacentral:rRNA from 1 species
GAUCCUGGCUCAGGAUGAACGCUAGCGGCAGGCUUAACACAUGCAAGUCGAGGGGCAGCGGGGAGUAGCAAUACUCCGCCGGCGACCGGCGCACGGGUGCGUAACGCGUAUGCAACCUACCCAUAACAGGGGGAUAACACUGAGAAAUUGGUACUAAUACCCCAUAACAUCAGGACCGGCAUCGGUUCUGGUUGAAAACUCCGGUGGUUAUGGAUGGGCAUGCGUUGUAUUAGCUGGUUGGUGAGGUAACGG